ACCUCUCCGAUGAAGUGCCACCAUCUAACCCUGACAACAAUGUUCCUUACUAGUUCAACCAUGACUCUUCCACCCUCGCUUCCAAGCUCCGUAACCACUAGAUUUUCGGCGCUACUAAGUCCUCCGCCGCAGUUGCCAUCAUGCUCUAGCAGCAACUCUUCAUGUCUCGCGGUGCCGGCGUCGGAGCCGGCGAGUCUGGUCUGAUACAGAUGCCACUUUCUUUGGGUGCCUCCGACGAUGUCGUUGAUGGGUCAUCGUCUUUCAAGUUUCCUAAUACGGGUUUGUAGGUGGAAAGGGAAAUCCUUGGAAGCAAUCCAAGUUUGAGUAGUAGCAGUACUACCAGGAAGAUUUAUACUAUUAAAGGAAAAUUUUUCUUUCUUUACAAAAAGUUGUCAACACUUCUUUUCCAAUUAUACAAAACACUACCUCUUGAAGUGGGAAACCAAAAACAUCCAGUCCCAUUUUUUUUAUGGGACAUUGUUGGAUGAAUUGCAUGGAUCAUGUGUUUUUACAAAAAUUGAUUUGAUAAUUGUGUAUCAUCAAAUUAGGAUGAAAGAGAGUGAUGAAUGGAAAACUGCCUUCAAAACUAAAUAUGGAUUGUAUGAGUGGUUGUGGGUGUGAGAUUUGGGAUGGGUUUGAGAUUUGGGAUGGUCUCAGAUCGGAUUGUGGCUGUGAAGUGUGGAGGGGUCUCACCAGCGCCGUUGCCGAUAUUGGUUGUGGUGAUUGAUGUUGAGGUGUUUUUUUUUUUUUGU